rnacentral:tRNA from 1 species
CGCAGGAUAGUGCAGCGGUCAGCACAUUGGACUCAUAAUCCAAAGGUCGGGGGUUCGAAUCCCUCUCCUGCUA